AGAGCGAACGCUGGCGGCAGGCUUAACACAUGCAAGUCGAGCGGGCGUAGCAAUACGUCAGCGGCAGACGGGUGAGUAACGCGUGGGAACGUACCUUUUGGUUCGGAACAACACAGGGAAACUUGUGCUAAUACCGGAUAAGCCCUUACGGGGAAAGAUUUAUCGCCAUAGGAUCGGCCCGCGUCUGAUUAGCUUGUUGGUGGGGUAAUGGCCCACCAAGGCUACGAUCAGUAGCUGGUCUGAGAGGAUGAUCAGCCACAUUGGGACUGAGACACGGCCCAAACUCCUACGGGAGGCAGCAGUGGGGAAUAUUGGACAAUGGGCGCAAGCCUGAUCCAGCCAUGCCGCGUGAGUGAUGAAGGCCCUAGGGUUGUAAAGCUCUUUCGGCGGGGAAGAUAAUGACGGUACCCGUAGAAUAAGCCCCGGCUAACUUCGCGCCAGCAGCCGC
rnacentral:rRNA from 1 species